rnacentral:lncRNA from 1 species
GAGAGAACAGCAAAACUGAACUCAUGCAUGCUGUGUGAUGAGACCCUACUUCAUUUGUCUUUUUUCACGAAGCUAUGUUUUAUUAAUUGGAUUGAGCUUACUAAACCAAUGUUUAUUGCUUGAACAUAGCAGUAGGCCAAACCUAAGGUAUAGUUAUUAAGCAGGACACAACUAUUUCCUUGUAGCAUGCAAUGGGAGGGCCUGAGCGGGUUUACUUUGCGUUUGAAGCACUGGCAUGUAGGGCUGUCAAGCACCAUUGGUGGGCAGAUGGAAGUUUAAGGAUGGUUGCCGGUCUCCCAUAGCUCCAAUAUGCAACUGUUAUCGGCUGCAGAAGUCAUAGUGCUGUCACAACUAGUUUUCUGAUGCUU